UACAGAGGGGGCAAGCGUUAUUCGGAAUUAUUGGGCGUAAAGGGCGCGUAGGCGGCCUGGCAAGUGGAAGGUGAAAUCCCUCGGCUUAACCGAGGAACUGCCCUCCAAACUGCUUGGCUUGAGUCCGGGAGAGGUGAGUGGAAUUCCCAGUGUAGCGGUGAAAUGCGUAGAUAUCGAGAGGAACACCUGCGGCGAAGGCGGGUUGCUGGGCUGACACUGACGCUGAUGCGCGAAAGCCAGGGGAGCGAACGGG
rnacentral:rRNA from 1 species